AUGUCAAGUAUACCAAGGAAGACGAACCUCCGCAGAGGGCAGAGGUUCUGCAUUUAUGCGUGGAGGAACUCUGUUUGGUAUACCACAUCACCGCGGCAACAAAAAUGGCCCAAGAGCCUGCACCCAUUCCUGAAGGAGGAAAGGUCCUACACCUUUGCCGGCUUCAGUAUUGAAGGUGACAAAGAGAAGCUGGGGAGAUCUGGUUUGGAGAUCAACCCCGACAAGUACAUCGACAUCCAACGCAAAUGGAGAGUUCCGUUCAAGGAAAGAAAGAGGUUCCACUCUUUGGCUGAUGUUGCAGGCAACAUGAUCCACCCAUUCUACAACAAGAUGAAGAAAAAGAUUGACAGGGAUGAAGACGAUAAACUGUGGGGUAUCAGGCCACUACCAGAUUACCUCAUCGAGUAUGCAGCGAUAGAUGCGUAUGCCACCUACGAGUCAUGGAAGGGAAUUGAAAACAUCAGAGAAGGUCGUGCAAAAGAGGCAUAG
rnacentral:rRNA from 1 species